rnacentral:rRNA from 1 species
UACGAAGGGUGCAAACGUUGCUCGGAAUUAUUGGGCGUAAAGCGCACGUAGGCGGCUUAGCAAGUCGGAAGUGAAAUCCCUCGGCUCAACCAAGGAAGUGCUUUCGAAACUGCUGAGCUUGAGUACUUAAGAGGAUCGCGGAAUUCCCGGUGUAGAGGUGAAAUUCGUAGAUAUCGGGAGGAACACCAGUGGCGAAGGCGGCAUCCUGGCCAUGUCCUGACGCUCAGGGGCGAAAGCGUGGGGAGCAAACCGG